rnacentral:rRNA from 1 species
CGGCGAGUGAAAGCGGCAACAGCUCAAAUUUGAAAUCUGGCCCCCAGGGCCCGAGUUGUAAUUUGUAGAGGAUGCUUUUGGCGCGGUGCCUUCCGAGUUCCCUGGAACGGGACGCCAUAGAGGGUGAGAGCCCCGUCUGGUUGGACACCUAGCCUCUGUAAAGCUCCUUCGACGAGUCGAGUAGUUUGGGAAUGCUGCUCUAAAUGGGAGGUAUAUGUCUUCUAAAGCUAAAUACCGGCCAGAGACCGAUAGCGCACAAGUAGAGUGAUCGAAAGAUGAAAAGCACUUUGAAAAGAGGGUUAAAUAGUACGUGAAAUUGUUGAAAGGGAAGCGUUUGUGACCAGACUUGGGCCCGGUUGAUCAUCCACCGUUCUCGGUGGUGCGCUCUGCCGGCCCAGGCCAGCAUCAGUUCGCGCCGGGGGAUAAAGGCUUCGGGAAUGUGGCUCCUCCGGGAGUGUUAUAGCCCGUUGUGUAAUACCCUGGUGCGGACUGAGGUUCGCGCUCCGCAAGGAUGCUGGCGUAAUGGUCAUCAGCGACCCGUCUUGAAACACGGACCAAGGAGUCGUCUUCGUAUG